UGUAUUUGACUGACUUGAGUUUCUAAGGCAAAUCACCUUUACAUAAUUAGCUGUAAGUUAGCUUAUCACAUAUCUCUGAAGCAUUUCUUUUUUCUACAUUAAAUUCAGAGUAAUUCCAGAGUUAGAGACAAAAGAUAAGUUUCACAAAAAAAGGAGGUAAGAGCCAACCCCAAUAUGCAUAAAUCUAACUCCUAAUAUAUAUAACUCCUAAUAUAUGUCAAGAUACACACUGCUUGACAUAUAUUGUUAGAAGCACCUCACACUUGUGGGUUCUCUUAAGCAAAAUACUUGCAUUAGGUCUCAGCUGGGGCUGUGCAUCAGGCGGUUUGGGAAAUACUCAGUUCUCAGCAGAAGCCAGAAUUUGAAUUCCCUCAUCUUUUAAGAAUCAUUUACCAGGUUUGGAGAGGAUUUAGGCAGCUCAGGUG
rfam:Callithrix jacchus chromosome 1, whole genome shotgun sequence